rnacentral:lncRNA from 1 species
UGUUAUAAAAUCUAUGGUGAUAUGUUCCCAUUUGCACUCUGGGAUUGAUAAUGAUUGAAGUAGCCCACCUGGAUGUUGAUGUUCUGCUUUAACCUAUUGACAUACAAGGAACUUGGAGAGGAAAUCAAUAAUUUUCUUUUCAUCCUAUUCCAUCAAAAUUGAUGUCGCAUGGUUUGAUACAUCUUAGUACUUCCAGAAUUCAUGGUGAAUCUUGUAUUGUAAGCCUCUGUCAUGAUAUCUUUUUUCAGUUCACUAUCAUUUGGAACACAUACCCUGUCCUAAAAUCUGAGCAACCCAUCAGUAAAGACUCGAAAUUCUAAAUUUAAACCCUAUUCUAUAUCCUUUCUGAUAGAUACUAGAGUGGGAUCAGUUAGUUGAGAUUCC